rnacentral:rRNA from 1 species
AUGCCAGACUCCUACGGGAGGCAGCAGUGAGGAAUAUUGGUCAAUGGGCGCGAGCCUGAACCAGCCAAGUCGCGUGAGGGAUGACGGCCCUACGGGUUGUAAACCUCUUUUGUCGGGGAGCAAAUUCCGCCACGUGUGGCGGAGUCGAGAGUACCCGAAGAAAAAGCAUCGGCUAACUCCGUGCCAGCAGCCGCGGUAAUACGGAGGAUGCGAGCGUUAUCCGGGUUUAUUGGGUUUAAAGGGUGCGUAGGCGGACUGUCAAGUCAGCGGUAAAAUACGGGGGCUCAACCCCGUCCGGCCGUUGAAACUGGGGGCCUUGAGUGGGCGAGAAGAAGGCGGAAUGCGUGGUGUAGCGGUGAAAUGCAUAGAUAUCACGCAGAACUCCGAUUGCGAAGGCAGCAUACCGGCGCCCAACUGACGCUCAGGCACGAAAGCGUGGGUAUCGAACAGGAUUAGAUACCCGCGUA